CAUGGAUGAGGAGCGCGCCCUCUACAUCGUCCAGGCAGGCAAAGCGGGGGCUAUCGAGCGGGUCCUGAGGGAUUACAGCGACAAGCAUAGGGCUACUUUCAAAUUUGAAACAACAGAUGAAGAUAAAAGAAAGAAACUCUGUGAAGGCAUAUUUAAGGUCCUUGUAAAGGACAUCCCAACAACAUGUCAAGUGUCCUGCCUGGAAGUACUCCGCAUUCUCUCCAGAGACAAAAAGGUUUUAGUUCCUGUAACAACUAAGGAAAAUAUGCAGAUACUGCUGCGACUAGCCAAGCUAAAUGAGUUGGAUGAUUCUUUGGAGAAGGCGUCAGAGUUCCCAGUUAUUGUGGAGUCGUUGAAAUGUCUGUGUAACAUAGUGUUCAACAGUCAGAUGGCACAGCAGCUCAGCCUGGAACUUAAUCUUGCUGCGAAGCUCUGUAACCUCCUGAGAAAGUGCAAGGACCGAAAAUUUAUCAAUGACAUUAAGUGCUUUGACUUGCGCUUACUCUUCCUCCUGUCACUUUUGCACACUGACAUCAGGUCACAAUUGCGCUAUGAGCUCCAGGGACUACCGCUGCUAACCCAGAUUCUGGAAAGUGCCUUUAGCAUCAAGUGGACCGAUGAGUAUGAAUCGGCCAUAGACCAUAAUGGACCUCCUCUCUCACCUCAGGAGACAGACUGUGCCAUUGAGGCCCUCAAAGCUCUCUUCAAUGUGACAGUAGACAGUUGGAAGGUGCAUAAAGAGAGUGAUUCUCAUCAGUUUCGUGUUAUGGCAGCUGUCCUUCGCCAUUGUUUACUAAUUGUAGGCCCAACUGAAGAUAAAACAGAAGAACUGCACAGCAAUGCAGUCAACCUUUUAAGCAAUGUUCCGGUCUCUUGUUUGGAUGUUCUCAUUUGUCCAUUAACCCAUGAAGAAACAGCCCAAGAGGCAACGACUCUAGAUGAACUGCCCAGUGAAAAAACAGCUGAGAAGGAAACAGUUUUGAAAAACAAUACCAUGGUGUACAAUGGUAUGAAUAUGGAAGCUAUUCAUGUUUUACUCAAUUUUAUGGAGAAGAGAAUAGACAAGGGAAGCAGCUAUAGAGAGGGUCUAACUCCAGUUCUCAGCUUAUUAACAGAAUGUUCCCGAGCCCAUCGAAACAUCAGAAAAUUUCUCAAAGAUCAGGUUUUACCACCAUUGAGGGAUGUGACUAAUCGACCUGAAGUUGGCUCAACUGUGAGAAAUAAGCUGGUGCGCCUCAUGACACAUGUUGACCUUGGAGUCAAGCAAAUUGCUGCUGAAUUCCUUUUUGUCCUUUGCAAAGAGAGAGUGGAUAGCCUGCUGAAAUACACUGGCUAUGGGAAUGCUGCGGGACUUUUGGCGGCCAGGGGCCUUUUGGCUGGAGGAAGAGGAGAUAAUUGGUACUCAGAGGACGAGGACACAGACACUGAAGAAUACAAAAAUGCAAAACCAAACAUUAAUCUUAUCACUGGUCAUUUAGAGGAACCAAUGCCAAACCCCAUAGAUGAAAUGACAGAAGAACAAAAAGAAUAUGAAGCCAUGAAACUUGUCAACAUGCUUGAUAAACUUUCCAGACCCUGUCAUUAAUUCCAUGUGUCAAUACUGCCCUGUAGUACACAGAGCAGACAAGAAAGAAGAGCCCUUGAAAACAAGGGAAUGAUUUUUGAGUCGUUAUCAAGCUAAGUGGCAAGCGGGAAGCUGAAACUCGUAUAGUUGAACAUUCUUGGAGGCUUAUCUCUUCCCUGGCCAGAUGCCGGAUCAGAUGAGAAGCCCGCCAUGAUACUGUCACAGUGCCUAGAAUGGGCUCUUUAUCCAGUAGACAUCACUGUACUUUUUGAUGAUAACGAGGGCAGUCUUAACUUGUGUUAAGGCCUGUGUAUAGCAUUGAAGAGAGGAGUUGCUUAAACCAAUGGGACUAAAACCUGAUGGGACAAUAACGCCUUUGGAGGAAGCACUCAACCAAUACCCUGUCAUCGAAGAAACCAGCUCUGACACAGACUAAAAGCAUCACCUGCUCAACUCUCAAUAUUGCUUUUAUCAGCAUCUUUUCUCUGUAGCUCCAGGGGAAUCUUUUCUCUAAAACAUUUAUGCCCUGCUUUGGCUAGAAACACAUUAACUGGUUUACUCAUUGAGAAUCCAGCAUAUUUAAGAGGUGAUCCUGUGUUUUUUGCAAUAUUGAGGCAUUCAUACAGAGCUGCAGUUAGAUGGAGUUACAGGGGCUAGAAGUAGGAAGAAAAAAUCAUUCCAUCUUAUCAGAAUGGAAUGGAAGGACUUUGUUCUAUAAAGCAGCCCUGGUUGAAUCUAGCAAUCCUGUUUGCCAAGAUUCUUAGCAGAAGAUUUAGCAAUGUCCUUCCUCACACUUGUGCAAACUGCCCCUUCUGAAUCUCCAGCCACUGGAGGCAUGGAAGAAGCAGAGUGAGUUGGUAAACAAGGGUGGAGGCAAUCACUCUCUAAAGCAGGACUGACUACAUGGAAGCCAGGCAGCUGCCCCAGACCCGAACGCCUAGCCCCAUUCUUCAUUUCAGUUUUGUAUCAAUAUAUAGAAACACACACAAACACACACAGAGCCCCAGACUUACAAACUGAUGACACUCUAAAUGUUUGUUGGUCACUUAGCUUCAACAUCAGAAUACAUUUCUCCCUACGAAGAGUUAUAAAUGAUGGUUUAGUUCCCAGGCAGCUACAAAUGCCUAUUUAUUCCCUCAAGUACCUGAACACUAGUACCGUAGAACUGAACCACCAUCUGUACACUGCAUGGGGAGCAUGCAUUCUGAGGGCUACCUUGGGGUGCCAGAACACACACAUCCUCUAUCUCACCAGACGUAAUAGGGACUCCCUGGGUAUAGGAGUUCUUUCGUGGCCUCUGCUGGGGCCGGGGAGUCAGCAGCACCUAUCUGUAUAUAUAGGUCAUUCAUACAUCAUGUUUUAAAUUGGGGACUGUAUGUGUGCUUGUGUGUGUGUGCUACCUUUCCACCGUAUGUCAUCAGUUUAAUGGUAACUUUAUUUAUUUAAAAGAAAAGAAACACAAAUAGCUACUAUUAAACUGAUGGAGGUUGUUUAUUUUUACUGUUAGAAUUGGUCAUUCUGUGAAGUGAAAACUGAAUCAUGCAGUAGACAGUGGGCCUAGCUGAUCAGUGGCUACAGUUGAAAGGGGUUGGUUUCCUUAUAUAUGUAUGUAUGUAUGUACGUGUAUGUAUAUACAUACGUACACAUAUAUACACACACAUAGAUAAUGUGCUUAACCACUGCCUUUUAAAAGUUGAAAUAAAACAUUGGGGUUGAUUCAAUUUAGCCAUUUGUGCGUGUUUCUUUGAAGAUACGUGGGCUAAACUACCGCACAGUCGAUGCUUAUUUAAAAUGCUCUCACAUCCUUAGAUCACUUACCAUCAUCAUAACCUUUGUAAGGAUAGGUAAAGUAUGUGGACGUUAGUGAAAAUGCCACUUAUCCAAAAGUUACUUCUCUGGCAAAGCAACAAAAAAAGAAAUUAAGUUUUAAAAGGCCUUUGAUCUGGCAGAAGAAAUGACACAAAAUUUAACAGUUUACUCAUGAGAGAGAUCUUCAAGAAUAUCACUCUUAGCCACUUUGCUAAGAUCUGUGUACAUUUCCAACAUGUUUAGUUAUCCGGCUUCCAAGCCCCCAAGGAGGGAAAAAAAAAGGCAAAGCAGGAGGUGGCUAGAUUGAAGAUAGGCAUACUGGAAGCAGCAAAAAGAAUUAAAAAUGAAAACUAGGUAGCAAGAUGGGAAGAGUAAAAAUAACUGUCCCAGGAAAGCAAGUCUGAGACCGAGGCUGUUUACCAGAGCUACUCUACUUGACCCAGAAAAUAGGUAGACAGCAGUAUGGCCUGUAGACCAGUUCUCAUAAAGGUGACCCUGACUUUCUUUCAAAGAGUAAGUUAAAUCCAGAAUACUUCAUAAAAGGCUGGGAAGAAUAUGAUAUAUUAAUAGGAUUUUCAUCCAAAAUAGUUGAGCGAAAGGUUGUAGAUAACCCAUGCUUUAAACAAUAGCAAAUAAAAUGAAACGGCCAUUCGUAAUAUUAGACUAAAUGAAAAGCUUAGAAAAAAGAAUUUAAGUAUUUUUGUUAUUUUGUUCUACAAAUGCAUUUUUAAAGUAUUUUUAUAAUUUCUACAAUCAAAUAGCUUUGGCAUGAGUGUCAGCUUGCCUAAAUGAAGACACGUUUAAUGAAAUACCAUUUUACUGCCUUUCUGCAGAGUGUUUGGACAGUCCUGUGUAAGUAGCUGUACUUCUGCUUUCAGUGAAUUGUUUCAUUUUGUGUUUCUCUGUGCUAGGCAGUGAGCUUUGUUUUUGAGGAGAGAAUAU